rnacentral:rRNA from 1 species
GACGAACGCUGGCGGCGUGCUCAACACAUGCAAGUCGAACGGAAAGGCCCUGCUUUUGUGGGGUGCUCGAGUGGCGAACGGGUGAGUAACACGUGAGUAACCUGCCCUUGACUUUGGGAUAACUUCAGGAAACUGGGGCUAAUACCGGAUAGGAGCUCCUGCUGCAUGGUGGGGGUUGGAAAGUUUCGGCGGUCGGGGAUGGACUCGCGGCUUAUCAGCUUGUUGGUGGGGUAGUGGCUUACCAAGGCUUUGACGGGUAGCCGGCCUGAGAGGGUGACCGGCCACAUUGGGACUGAGAUACGGCCCAGACUCCUACGGGAGGCAGCAGUGGGGAAUAUUGCACAAUGGGCGGAAGCCUGAUGCAGCAACGCCGCGUGCGGGAUGACGGCCUUCGGGUUGUAAACCGCUUUCGCCUGUGACGAAGCGUGAGUGACGGUAAUGGGUAAAGAAGCACCGGCUAACUACGUG